rnacentral:sRNA from 1 species
ACGUACGUACGUACGUAACGUACGUACGUACGUAACGUACGUACGUACGUAACGUACGUACGUACGUAACGUACGUACGUACGUAACGUACGUACGUACGUAACGUACGUACGUACGUAACGUACGUACGUACGUAACGUACGUACGUACGUAACGUACGUACGUACGUAACGUACGUACGUACGUAACUGGAAAAAAGUUUAAAAUGUGUAAAAGUUUUGUGCCAAAAAAAAAAAAAAAAAAAAAAAAAAAAAAAAAAACAAAUUUCAG